rnacentral:rRNA from 1 species
CAGUAGCCGCGGUAAUACGUAGGGUGCGAGCGUUAAUCGGAAUUACUGGGCGUAAAGCGUGCGCAGGCGGUUUUGUAAGACAGGCGUGAAAUCCCCGGGCUCAACCUGGGAAUGGCGCUUGUGACUGCAAAGCUAGAGUGCGGCAGAGGGGGAUGGAAUUCCGCGUGUAGCAGUGAAAUGCGUAGAUAUGCGGAGGAACACCGAUGGCGAAGGCAAUCCCCUGGGCCUGCACUGACGCUCAUGCGCGAAAGCGUGGGGAGCAAACAGGAUUAGAGACCCCCGUAGUCCCUGUCUCUUAUAC